GGCAGUUCUCGGGUGACACACCCCAGAAUUGUGCUCCCUCCUCUCUGGUUCUGGGUGCGUCAUCCAAGAACCACA
rfam:Myotis lucifugus cont2.22595, whole genome shotgun sequence.